UGUACGUGUUUGAGCACACGCCUCUGUCUGUCAGUCACAUUGUAUUGAAAUGAAUCCUGAUGUUAGAUGAAGUGGCUUUGGAGGCAGAUUAAGCAUGAACCUCUCUAUCAUGCCAGGUGUCAUGGGAAUGAUAUGUUGCAAAGUAUACAGACAGACAGAGAGUUUUGCCUCUGCUGGGUUGAUGUCAGGUCUUCAAUCUCUGUUUGAAGGUAAUAGUUUGCAUGCCAAAUGGCACUCUAUUCCCUAUAAAGGGCACUAAUGUCACCCUAUUCUCUCUCUAUAUAUAUUGUACCAGUUGGGCCAUGGUCAAAAGUAGUGCAACCUACUGUAUAUGGAAUAAGGUGCCAUUUGGGAUGUAAUCUAGAUAGAUGUCUGUGCAGGUUUCAGUCCAUCCUGGUGUACAGUCUGCUAUAGCUAGCUAGGCAGCUGUCUGUCUGUUGCCAAGAAUGUGACUAAAAUGCCAGCGUGAGCUGGGAAAACAACCCAGCGGAUGAAUUCCUACCCUUUUUAUUUCCUCAAAAACAUGGUUACGUCCCAAUUGGCACCCUUUUCCCUACACCUAUUGGUGCAUCGUAGGCCCUGGUCAAAAGUUGUGCACCAUAUAAGGAAUAGGGUGCCAUUUGGGAUGCAGAACAUGGUAUUUGUUUUAAACUAUAUUAAUCACUGAAUAACUUUUAUUCAGCUGUAAGUGCCAAUUUGGGAGGUAAAAUGAAAUGUUGCAAAUUAAAUCUGAAUGCUUUUUAAAGAUUGACUGCCCCUAAAAAACAAAUAAUUCCUUUCAAAACGGCCUAAGUGGCAUCAAUAUCUCCCUCACUAACUUUAAGCAUCAGCUGUCAGAGCAGUUUACCGAUAGCUGAAGCUGUACACAGCCCAUCUGUAAAUACCCCAUCCAACCAACUACCUACCUCAUCCCUUAUUUGUUUUUCUGCUCUUUUGCACACCAGUAUUUCUACUUGCACAUCCUCAUCUGCACAUCUAUCACUCCAGUGUUAAUUGCUAAAUUGUAAUUAUACAGAUUUUUCUAUUGUGUUAUUGACUGUACGUUGUUUAUCCCAUGUGCAACUAUAUUGUAGUUUUUGUCGCACUGCUUUGCUUUAUCUUGGCCAGGUCGCAGUUGUAAAUGAGAAGUUGUUCUCAACUUGCCUACCUGGUUAAAUAAAGGUUAAAAAAUAAAUACGAGUCAGAAGCAUUUAUUCUGGUGUCGAAAUUGACUGCAAAGUGUAAAUAGGAUAAUUUUGGUCAGUCUCGUCUAAAACGGAGUUUGGAACCUCAGUGCAUGACAACAAGUAAAUGAAGGUUGGGUUAGGAUUACAAUUAUGUCAAGAAAUCAAGCCCCAUUUUGUCAAACUCCACGUGCAAAUUGCCCCUCUGUCCACUUUGCUUUCUUUCAUUGUUUCAUCGCCCCCAACGCACUCAAAGGAUCACGGACGUUUGAGACUGAAAAGCCCCAUACGGAUUAACCAUGCAAUGCAUGGUUCAAGCAGGAUGCACAGCCAACUGGUUUGCAUGCCCUGUCAAAGGACCCUAAUCAUGCAAAAUAGGUGUUUGGAGUUCGUUGGUCCCAAGUGGUGAGUACUAACUAGCAGCAACAAACUCAACCCAACCCAGGGCCUAUCAGAAGGAAAAAAGCUUGUCAGGCAAUACCUUACAAAAAAAGUGUGUCAUGCGACACAAGUACCCUUGUGACACCACCUCCGUUGUUGCCAGAGUCUCCCUCGACUCCUAUGAAAAGGACACGCCAUCAUGAUGCCUCUGAUAGUGACCCAAGUUACUGCCCUGAGUACACAGACAGCUUCAUCAUCAACGACAGGCCCUCCCAGUCAAGAACACCUCAUAAGAUUGCCUGCAGCAGGUGUUCAAGAGAUGCCCAGGUUGCAGCCGAACAUGCAGCAUUGAGAAGACCAGCAAGUAAGCUCUCAUCAGCAUCAUGCAGACAGGCCCCCCUGUGAGCAUUCCUAUGAAUGGAACAGUCAGCCACAUGUUGGCAAGUAUCUGGCCAGCAACAGCUUUCACAGACUCAUUAUUAAAUACAGAAGGUAACCCACUUAAAUACUUUGAUAAUCCAAAUGGGAAACAUUAUUUAUGUAAACUGACAUUAUUUGUGGCUUAUUUUCUACUUCUUAAGAGGCAUAUAUGUCCAGGGCAUAACCUAGUCUGGUGGAACCAGCCUGAUCGCUGUGUUCCCCAUUCUAUUUGACUUCACAUUUUAUGGCAAAGACCUCACCUCCAGCCUCACCUCUUGCCUGCACUCCAACGGUCGUUGAUAGGGAGAACAGAAUUGGAUGCAUGAGAUGCAGAAAGACCUGGCACUCAACACAUCCACAAUGAGAUGGACUGGAGAUGCUUUUGCCAGACGGCAGCCUCAGUCGUUUGAUGGGGAGACCAUAAUUGGGUGUACUGGAGGGCAGGUAGUUUGCCCCCGGUGAUGCGUUGUGCAGACCUCACUACCCUCUGGAGAGCCUUACGGUUGUGGGCGGAGCAGUUGCCGUGCCAGGCGGUGAUACAGCCCGACAGGAUGCUCUCGAUUGUGCAUCUGAAGAAGUUUGUGAGUGCUUUUUAUUUUAUGGGUUGUUAUGUUUUUCUGUCAUGCGUAAUGUGCAGUAACCUAUAUAUCAUAUUUGUUUUGGUUAAUGGCCCACAACUCUUUUGGCUUUUUGAGGCUUGGGCUCAUUAAAUAUCUUUAAUGCAGUGCUGAAUAUAUGUCAUCAGGCUUGAAUCUUCAAUCAAAGCUCUAAUCUAAUCUAGACAUCGGUCUAUGUAUAUGCUUUAUCAUGUUUUUGAAUAACACUUCUGGUUUUGGUGGGAAAUGCCGGGUUACCCAGGAGAAAAGUGUAUUAUUCUCGGGUCGGGAAUUUUUGUAACAUACAGGGAAAAUAUUCUACCCUAGUGUGUAUGUGUUCACAGAAACAUGAAUAGAGCCAGCACAUUACUACUUGCAAGAUGAUGUGAUGAAGUCCAGACUGACACACGGGCUUGGUACAACCGGGCCCUCUGCAUAAAAUGUUUACUAGACACAACUUUGACUUAUGUUGUCAUUUUUUUAUUGAAUUGAUUGAAUGGUAUCACUCAAUAUGGGUCGGGAGAAACACUGUGUAUUCUGCACCAGAAUCAGGGAACUCAUGUUGUAUACGGGACACCACACAGGAAGGUACAGAGCAAGUGUUCAGACCCCUUGACUUUUCCCACAUUUUGUUACGUUUCAGCCUUAUUCUAAUAUUGAUCAAAUAGUUUUUCCCCCUCAUCAAUCUUAAAUAAAUCAUUCUCUACUAUUAUUCUGACAUUUCACGUUCAUAAAAUAAGUGGUGAUCCUAACUGACCUAAAA